rnacentral:rRNA from 13 species
UUUCCGUAGGUGAACCUGCGGAAGGAUCAUUGUCGA